rnacentral:rRNA from 1 species
CCUACGGGAGGCAGCAGUAGGGAAUCUUCCACAAUUGGCGAAAGCCUGAUGGAGCAACGCCGCGUGGGUGAAGAAGGUCUUCGGAUCGUAAAACCCUGUUGUUAGAGAAGAAAGUGCGUGAGAGUAACUGUUCACGUUUCGACGGUAUCUACCCAGAAAGCCACGGCUAACUACGUGCCAGCAGCCGCGGUAAUACGUAGGUGGCAAGCGUUAUCCGGAUUUAUUGGGCGUAAAGGGAACGCAGGCGGUCUUUUAAGUCUGAUGUGAAAGCCUUCGGCUUAACCGGAGUAGUGCAUUGGAAACUGGGAGACUUGAGUGCAGAAGAGGAGAGUGGAACUCCAUGUGUAGCGGUGAAAUGCGUAGAUAUAUGGAAGAACACCAGUGGCGAAGGCGGCUCUCUGGGCUGUAACUGACGCUGAGGUUCGAAAGCGUGGGUAGCAAACAGGAUUAGAUACCCGAGUAGUC